ACUAGAGAAAGAAGUUUAAAUGAAUCAAUUUUUUAUAUUUGUUAUUAAAACAAAGUCACUUUUCAUUUGAACUACUAAGUUUUGCUAUAUCAUGGUGACUAAUAAAAUGCAUGACCAAAAGUCUUCCAAUCUUUGACUAAACUCCACAUAUUUGACACAGAGCGCUGCUCUGCAAUAAACAUUAAUAGCUUAAGUUAAACCGUGGCGUCUGCAGUUAAAGGAGCACAAUCUGCGCUUUGUUGCAGCGGAUGGAUCGUAAUUUACUCCCUGUCCCUUGUAAUAAGCGCCGGGCGGAUAUAAACGACACGGGGGUGACUACAUUCAACCAUUACACGCACCCCUCUCGCAAGUUAUUCUGCCACAAAAUGGCGGAGCUUCGACGCGAAAGACCCCAUUUUGUCAAGCAGACGAUUAGAACAGUUCAAGGAAGCCGAUUUUUGUGUUUUUAACGGUACUUCGAGCGUGUUUGGGAUGCGUUUGGCUGCGCCUGCUGAUAUGUUGUGGCGUCGCGCGGUGGAGAAUAAUGUCCGCGCGCUCUGGGUUUGACGCAGCACGAGCGCUGAGCGAGUGAAGCCACAAGAAUAUAUUUCUAUCUAGUUACAAUAGAUUUGUAUCAUAUUUUAAAUACACGUAAUAAACUUGAUGGGGAAUCAUUUUAUCUGGAGUCUGGAAGAUAUUGGACUCUUUCAUAUUCUGGACUGGAGGUGUCAAGCGUGAACCGUACAAAAUUGCAUCUAGAAAUGCACAGCCAUAAAGACUGAACUGAAGGAUUCACUUGACAUGCAGCUUUACUUCAGCGACUAAAAACCUGCAUCAUCAGAGAAGUUAUUAGACAUAAGCCACUCUACCAGAUUAUCCACCUAAUCUUUUUAAUAUUAGUCUAUCAUCUGAUGGAUACACGAGCAAAACAGAAUGAUAUAUCCAGAGUUUGAUAAACUCAGACAACCCCAGAUAUUAAGCAGCGUAUUAAGGUUUUGAAGGGGAAAAGCUGUACGUACGUAGUCAGAUAUGAUCCAUAAAAGUGGGUAGAGAGCGCCACCAUGUGGUUAAAUAUCGAAAUGUUCUGUAUUAAAUCGCUACAGUUGAAUCGUUUGAACCAAGACUUGCAUGAGUUGGGCCAAAGAAACACAUGCUUACUUUCUUGAAAUGAGUCGGUAGAUAAAAAAUAAAUGAACAAAAAUUGUUCGAUUUUUAAAAAGUGACUAUAUGUCUGAGUAUGCUGACUGAAAAUAAUUUUUUAAAUAAACGUGGCAAUACUUGACGCACCGUAA